UUUGCCAGGGAACUACGAGCCACAGCUUAAAACCCAAAGGACUUGGCGGUGCUUUAGACCCCCCUAGAGGAGCCUGUUCUAGAACCGAUGACCCCCGUUAAACCUCACCCUCUCUUGUAUUUUUCCGCCUAUAUACCGCCGUCGUCAGCUCACCCUGUGAAGGACUUAAAGUGAGCAUAAUUGGUAGUACCUAAAACGCCAGGUCGAGGUGUAGCCUACGAGAGGGGAAGAAAUGGGCUACAUUUACUGCCUCAGUAAACACGGAUGCUGUCUUGAAACAGACAUCUAAAGGAGGAUUUAGCAGUAAGGGGUGAAAUAGAGUGUCCCCCUGAAACUGGCCCUGAAGCGCGCACACACCGCCCGUCACUCUCCCCGAAUAAACCAUUAACUUAAAUAAACAACUAAAAAAACAAAGGGGAGGCAAGUCGUAACAUGGUAAGUGUACCGGAAGGUGCACUUGGAUAAA
rnacentral:rRNA from 1 species